rnacentral:rRNA from 1 species
AUUGAACGCUGGCGGCAGGCUUAACACAUGCAAGUCGAGCGGAGACUUCGGUCUUAGCGGCGAACGGGUGAGUAAUACCUAGGAAUCUGCCUAUUAGUGGGGGAUAACGAAUCGAAAGGUUCGCUAAUACCGCAUACGUCCUACGGGAGAAAGGGGGGGAGUCUUCGGACCUCUCGCUAAUAGAUGAGCCUAGGCCGGAUUAGCUAGUUGGUAGGGUAAAGGCCUACCAAGGCGACGAUCUGUAGCUGGUCUGAGAGGAUGGCCAGCCACACUGGAACUGAGACACGGUCCAGACUCCUACGGGAGGCAGCAGUGGGGAAUAUUGGACAAUGGGGGCAACCCUGAUCCAGCCAUGCCGCGUGUGUGAAGAAGGCCUCGGUU